rnacentral:rRNA from 1 species
UACGUAGGAUGCAAGCGUUGUUCGGAAUUACUGGGCGUAAAGAGUACGUAGGCGGUUUGAUAAGUCUGAUAUUAAAGACUGGGGCUUAACCUCAGGAAUGUAUCGGAAACUGUCAGACUAGAGGACAAUAGAGGAAGUCGGAAUUCUCAGUGUAGCGGUGAAAUGCGUAGAUAUUGGGAAGAACACCAGUGGCGAAAGCGGACUUCUGGGUUGUUACUGACGCUGAGGUACGAAAGCGUGGGGAGCAAACGGG